UAAGCCCAAAUGUUCAAACAAAUAGCCCAUCCCUAACCUAGCUACUCUAUUUAAACUUGUCCAAACAAAUUAAGUCCAAACAGAAACCUGUCCAAAAAAAUUAGAAGGGGAAGAAGAGUGAGAAUGAAACCCUAGAACUACUCACAGUCACCGUAUUCAUCUCUUUGCCAUUGUCACCAUCAAGCUCACCAUAUAUAGCAUCUGAGAUCAGAGGGAGAGUAACCUCAUCGCUACGGCCAUUCAUGUCCUCAUCGUUGUUGCCAUCAAGCUUCUACAUCAAUGCAUUAUCUCCUUCAUCUACAUGUAAUAACUUUAAUUUUGAGAUCAGAGAAAGAUUGAGUUCGUAGCCAUCGCCGGCACCGCCAUCAAGCUUAUCCGUAAAUGCUUUUGGUUUUCUCUGCAAUCACCUAAGCGUGGUUAGAAUUUGAUACAAAGGGAGAUCGCACAAAAAUUAUGCGUUGAAUGAUAGGAAUUUUAUCUCAUAACGAAGCUGGAAUCUGCUGAGAAGACCUGGCAAGAUUUAUCGGAACCUUAUCUCAUAAUGAAGCCGAAAUCUGCUGAGAAGACUUGGCAAGAUUUAUCGGUUAAGCUUGCUGACCCUGACCUUGUGUCUAAUCCGAGUGAGUACCAAAAAUUGGCAAAAUCAGUGGCAGAGCUUGAUGAGAAAAUUAAAAUAAUGUGUGAUAUUUUAUAUUCAUCUUGAGGCACUUCAACAUCUUGCUGGGAGUGCUGAUAUUAAGGACUGAGAAGCUGUGCUGGACAAGGCUGUGCAUACUGAAUAUGGUAAACAGAUUAUACGUGGGAUUGAUUUGGAGAGCAUGGGUAUAGUACAACGUGAUACUUUGUUGGCAUUUCGCACUCUUUGCAAGAUGGGUAUGAUGGAAGAUAAUGAUGAAGUUACAACCAAGACAAGGAUAUUAUCUCUUGAGCUUCUACAAGUUAUAAAGUGAUUUUAGCUAGCAUCUAUUAAUUGCUAGUUUAUAGGUUGUAGCAAAAUUCAUAGAAACUUAUGUUCCUUGUUUUUUUGCUUUACUACCAAGUUACAGGUCCAUUUGAUUUUCUGUGAUAUACUUGGUGCUUUUAAUUGUAUUGCCUUGGGUUUAGAUUUACAAAUGCAAUUAAUGUAAAGAUGAUGUAAAGAACACAUACAUAUCCUUUUGUUUUGAUGCUGAUAUUUGUAUUUAAUGCUUUCUUUUUUAACUAAAACCUUAUGGAAGGACGGCACAUUAUUGUCUUUUUAUUGUUCUUUGAAACUCAUUCACGUUGCUGUGAAUUGGUUUCUCAAUGUUUCAAAUUAUUUUUUUUUGUUCUUAACUGAUGACAAUUGAAUUUUUUAUUUUUUAUUUUAUUUUCUCAGGUUUUGUUGGAAGGAGUUAGCCACUCAUUUACAAAGAAUUUUUAUUUUAUUGAUUCGGUGAAGGCAUAUCUUUCAUAUGCAUUAUUGCGAGCUUCAGUUUCACAAUCCCGUCAUAUUUCAGAGUGAAAUAGGCAUCUUUUUUCAGCUGAUAGUGCUCAGACCACUGGACAGUUUAGAGUUUCUCAUCAACCAAAAAGUUAGUAUUCUUCGGUUACAGCUCUAUCAAAAAUAGCUCAAGGUACUCAAAAUAUUGAUCCAAAUUGCUGUUGCUGUUUCUCAAACAGCUUCAAUUAUAUGGGAAGUAAGUAGUUCAUUCGAGGUUUAGUUACUUUAAAAUUCUCUGUAGUUUCAUUGAAUUUCCAUAUUGGGUUUGAAACUAUUUUUUUUUUUGUGGAUAUUAUUAUAAAUUAGUGGAAAAACAAACUUGUUUCAGUUGCUCAAUUUUUGAAGAACACUCCCAAUCUGGAUAAGGUUGUAACUUUCAUGUAGUACAAUUUAACUCUAGAUUCAUGUUUGUUCUUGUAAUAUAUAUCUCUUGGUUGUAUUAGGGUAAAAAAUUAUGAAUGGAAGCUCCAUGGAAUUGAUCCAUGUGUAUUUUUA